GACCUCUUUCGGGGCGGGGCGAAAUUCCCCACCGGCGGUAAGUUCUCCCGAACAAGCCCGCGAAGCCCGCGCAAACCGCACCACGCGCCGGGCCCGAUGCCGCGCAACUCGGCAGCCGACGGUCACAGUCCGGACGAAAGAAGGAGGAG
rnacentral:ncRNA from 2 species